rnacentral:tRNA from 1 species
GACAACGUGGCCGAGUGGUUUUAAGGCGUUCGCCUGCUAAGCGGAUCCCUUUGGGAGCGCAGGUUCGAAUCCUGCCGUUGUCG